rnacentral:rRNA from 2 species
GAUUUUGGAUCCGACUGAGUGGCGAACUGGUGAGUAACACGUGGGUAACCUGCCCAGAAGAAGGGGAUAACACCUGGAAACAGAUGCUAAUACCGUAUAACAACAAGAACCACAUGGUUCUUGUUUGAAAGCUGGCCUUUGUGCUAGUGCUUCUGGAUGGACCCGCGGCGUAUUAGCUAGUUGGUGAGAUAAUAGCUCACCAAGGCAAUGAUACGUAGCAGACCUGAGAGGGUAAUCUGCCACAAUGGGACUGAGACACGGCCCAUACUCCUACGGGAGGCAGCAGUAGGGAAUCUUCCACAAUGGACGAAAGUCUGAUGGAGCAACGCCGCGUGAGUGAAGAAGGGUUUCGGCUCGUAAAACUCUGUUGUUAGAGAAGAACAGCCGUGAGAGCAACUGCUCACGGUAUGACGGUAUCUAACCAGAAAGUCACGGCUAACUACGUGCCAGCAGCCGCGGUAAUACGUAGGUGGCAAACGUUGUCCGGAUUUAUUGGGCGUAAAGGGAGCGCAGGCGGUUUAUUAAGUCUGAUGUGAAAGCCUUCGGCUUAACCGGAGAAGUGCAUCGGAAACUGAUAAACUUGAGUGCAGAAAAGGAUAGUGGAACUUCAUGUGUAGCGGUGAAAUGCGUAGAUAUAUGAAGGAACACCAGUGGCGAAGGCGGCUAUCUGGUCUGUAACUGACGCUGAGGCUCGAAAGCAUGGGUAGCAAACAGGAUUAGAUACCCUGGUAGUCCAUGCCGUAAACGAUGAAUGCUAGGUGUUGGAAGGUU